rnacentral:rRNA from 1 species
UUAAGCAUAUCAAUAAGCGGAGGAAAAGAAACUAACAAGGAUUCCCCUAGUAACGGCGAGUGAAGCGGGAAGAGCUCAAAUUUAAAAUCUGGCGGUCACCCGUCCGAGUUGUAGUCUAGAGAAGCAUCAUCUACGCUGGACCAUGUACAAGUCUCUUGGAACAGAGCGUCAUAGAGGGUGAGAAUCCCGUCCUUGACAUGGACUCCCAGUGUUCUGUGUUGUGCUCUCAACGAGUCGAGUUGUUUGGGAAUGCAGCUCAAAAUGGGUGGUAAAUUCCAUCUAAAGCUAAAUAUUGGCGAGAGACCGAUAGCGAACAAGUACCGUGAGGGAAAGAUGAAAAGCACUUUGGAGAGAGAGUUAAACAGUACGUGAAAUUGUUGAAAUGGAAACGCUUGAAGUCAGUCGCGUUCUCUGGGAUUCAGCCUUGCUUUUGCUUGGUGCAUUUCCUAGUCUACGGGCCAGCAUGGAUUUUGACCGUCGGAAAAGGGCUGGGGGAAUGUGGCACUUUCGGGUGUGUUAUAGCCCCCUGUCGCACACGUCGGUUGGGAUCGAGGACCUCAGUGCACGCUUCGGUUGUGCUUUGAUGCUGGCGUAAUGGCUUUAAACGACCCGUCUUGAAACACGGACCAAGGAGUCUAACAUGUCUGCGAGUGUUUGGGUGAAAAACUCGGACGCGCAAUGAAAGUGAUAGUUGGGAACCUUUCACGAGGGGCACCGACGCCCGGACCAGACCUUCUGUGACGGAUCCGAGGUAGAGCAUAUAUGUUGGGACCCGAAAGAUGGUGAACUAUGCCUGCAUAGGGUGAAGCCAGAGGAAACUCUGGUGGAGGCUCGUAGCGAUUCUGACGUGCAAAUCGAUCGUCAAAUGUGGGUAUAGGGGCGAAAGACUAAUCGAACCAUCUAGUAGCUGGUCUGCA